rnacentral:lncRNA from 1 species
UUGUCAUCGGAUGUUUGCGCCAGGGAACUUUUUUGGUUUUCAAAUGUGACCACAUAACUUCCUAGCUUUCUGACGGCAGACAACCAAGGAAGAGAAAAGAGAUUCUUGCACAAGGAAUAAAGAGAGAGCGACUAGAGAGAUUUGGGGUUUUCCGGCGAUGUUCACGGCAAUACUGUCGGCCGUCUACUACGGCGUAACCAACAGUCAUGAAGAUUCUGUGGUUGUAGGUGUAGAUCGGAGGACCUAAGAGGUGAUGUUGAUGUUUAGUUCGAGAAACCCUAAGCCACAAGAACCCCUCAUCUCUAAUCGGAAUGAACAGAAAAUGAUCGGCGAGACUAGGUGUUUUUGUGGCAAGGUCGCGUUCUUGAUGAUCUAAUGGUUGUCGAGCAGCGGAGACGAAGGAAACAACCACGCUGACGACAACGAUGGUUAUCUGGGGUUCCAAAUGUUGGUCGAUGGCGGCGGUUGUUCCCACGAAGACCUAGCCGCCGACUCCGGAGAUGGCGUCUAGGAUUCCGAUUGGAACUCCGAUUGAUGUCUGGCCUUUACGUGACCAGCCACAAGAAGAAUAUGGUUUGACUUAUGAUCAGUAAAACCAUCAAACCAACGAGUUCUUAGACCAUGAAACCAAUGAGGUUGAGGGUCAAGAUGAAAGUUCUGACGAAGAUCAAAUCGAGAACCAUGUGUGUCCUGCUUCUGUGACUGAACGUUUAUAUGAUAAUGGCCCUUAUGAGCACAAUGAAGGAAAUAAGAUUCACAUAUUUGAAGCAAAAAUCGCGGUUUGAGGUACAAACAGAUGUGAUAAGUAUUAGGUUAUGAUGGAGGUUUAAUCAAAUUAGAAUAUCUGGUAUCUGUUCUGAUCAUCACACUCACAUGUGUUGGAGGGCUAGGUUUUUUUGAAGGUUGAGAACUAUAGACUAUUUAACAGUAAGCAUCCUUUCGGUUUAAUUUAUAGAUUUUGUAUGUUGGAAGUGAAUUUUAUGAGAGCAUAUGGUACCUGUUCUACUCAUCUUAUUCACAUGGGUUGCAGGGAUGGGGUUUUUUUGAAGGUUGACUAUCGGCUAUUUAACGCCUCAGUUAAAUGUGAGUGUGUAAUGAACCAGUGAUAUUUUGGUUUCUUCCUUCUUAAAUGUGAAUUAGAAUUACCUAUGUUAGAUGAUAUGAACUGGAUGCUUUGUAUACAGCCUACAUUUUCUCCAAUGGUUGUUUUUCUUUACAAGUUUAUUGUAAACAGCAUACCUCAAAAUGUAAUACCCAUUUACCUUUAGUCUUCUAUCUGAGGUUGGUAGAACAGACAACUAAUUUUAUAUUUGGUUGUUGUGGUUUUAGACUUUUAUAACUUGAUCACUAUACUUUAGUUU